rnacentral:rRNA from 1 species
UACGACUACAUAUCAGGCAUAUCAAUAAGCGGAGGAAAAGAAACUAACUAGGAUUCCCUCAGUAACGGCGAGUGAAGCGGGAAGAGCUCAAAUUUGAAAUCUUCAAGGUUCUACCUUGACGAAUUGUAGUUUAAAGAAGUGUUUUCUGUUGGAAUUUUGGUAAAAGUUCUUUGGAAUAGGACAUCAUAGAGGGUGAGAAUCCCGUAUUUGACCAUUAUUUCCAGCUUUGUGAUACACUUUCAAAGAGUCGGAUUGUUUGGGAAUGCAGUCCAAAAUGGGUGGUAAAUUUCAUCUAAAGCUAAAUAUUGGCGAGAGACCGAUAGCGAACAAGUACCGUGAGGGAAAGAUGAAAAGAACUUUGAAAAGAGAGUUAAACAGUACGUGAAAUUGUCAAAAGGGAAGCGUUUGACACCAGUGUUGUUUUUCUCGAAAAUCAAUUACGAAUGGCUUGAUUUUGUGUUGUAUUGACCUUAUCAGCUUUCUUCACUUUUUUCGAGUCUUUCUUAAUGCACUUUUUGGUUAACAAGUCAACAUCAAUUUCUUUUGUUGUAAAAGAGUAUUCGGAAGGUGGCUUUCUUUUCGGAGAAAGUGUUUAUAGCCCUAUACUUCUACAAUCGGAGAGAUUGAGGUCUGCAGCGUAGAUCCUUCGGGGUUAGAUACACUUGUGCUAAGUUGUAGCUUUUCAUAGACAACUUGUUGACUAUGUUUAGUCAUGCGGCUUACUCGCUUGUGCUAUUUUACCUACGCUUAGGAUGUUGAGUAGCGACAUACGCAC